rnacentral:rRNA from 1 species
UACGAAGGGGGCGAGCGUUGUUCGGAAUUACUGGGCGUAAAGCGCACGUAGGCGGCUUUGUAAGUUAGAGGUGAAAGCCCAGGGCUCAACCCUGGAAUUGCCUUUAAGACUGCAUCGCUUGAACAUCGGAGAGGUAAGUGGAAUUCCGAGUGUAGAGGUGAAAUUCGUAGAUAUUCGGAAGAACACCAGUGGCGAAGGCGACUUACUGGACGAUUGUUGACGCUGAGGUGCGAAAGCGUGGGGAGCAAACAGG